rnacentral:tRNA from 1 species
AAGGGAGACCUAAUUCAGGUAUGAGACGAAAAAAAAGUAGUCCCUACCAAGAAUCAAUCCCAAAAGGUCGGAACGAGGUAUGAGGCUUUCAAACUAGGUUCUGGGUUCAUAAAAGACCUGAAUCAGGAACAAGGGCUAUUAGCUCAGGUGGUUAGAGCGCACCCCUGAUAAGGGUGAGGUCCCUGGUUCGAGUCCAGGAUGGCCCACCUGCACAGGUGGCAAAAACAAAAGAAGCUACGAAUCAGCACCUUAUCUUAUUUAUAUAUUUAAGAGAGAAUGCUGGCUCUGAGUACAGAGUCCAGAGGAACCUUGAAAACUGCAUAGAGCUAGGUGAAAAAGCCAAAAAAGAAGACCGCAA